rnacentral:rRNA from 1 species
UACGAAGGUCCCAAGCGUUGUUCGGAAUCACUGGGCGUAAAAGGAGCGUAGGCGGCGUGGUAAGUCAGAUGUGAAAUCCCGGGGCUCAACCCCGGAACUGCAUCCGAUACUGCCGUGCUUGAGGGUUGGAGAGGUAGCUGGAAUUAUCGGUGUAGCAGUGAAAUGCGUGGAUAUCGAUAGGAACACUCGUGGCGAAGGCGAGCUACUGGACAACAUCUGACGCUGAGGCUCGAAGGCUAGGGGAGCAAAAGGG